UAAUCUCCCGCACAGAAAGAGGGGGUUAACCCCUUGGAAAACGGGUUUUUUAUUUCCCGUUAAAACAACAAAAACCCCCAUUGGUUUUUUUUUUAGAAAAGGCGGCCUUUUUGGGUUUAGGCUUUCGGGGAAUGCCCCGCGGUGCGUUUUUUGGUUUUGUUGGGGGAAUAUAUGGCUCCACAAAGGCCAAUGAUCCGUUGGGCAGCCCUGGAGGGGUUAUUUUGCCACAAUGGGACUGAGACACGGCCCAUACUCCUACGGGAGGCAGCAGUAGGGAAUCUUCCACAAUGGACGAAAGUCUGAUGGAGCAACGCCGCGUGAGUGAAGAAGGGUUUCCGGUUCGUAAAACUCUGUUGUUAGAGAAGAACAGCCGUGAGGAGCAACUGCUCCACGGUAUGACGGUAUCUAACCAGAAAGUCACGGCUAAUUACGUGCCAGCAGCCGCGGUAAUACGUAGGUGGCAAACGUUGUCCGGAUUUAUUGGGCGUAAAGGGAGCGCAGGCGGUUUAUUAAGUCUGAUGUGAAAGCCUUCGGCUUAACCGGAGAAGUGCAUCGGAAACUGAUAAACUUGAGUGCAGAAAAGGAUAGUGGAACUUCAUGUGUAGCGGUGAAAUGCGUAGAUAUAUGAAGGAACACCAGUGGCGAAGGCGGCUAUCUGGUCUGUAACUGACGCUGAGGCUCGAAAGCAUGGGUAGCAAACAGGAUUAGAUACCCUGGUAGUCCAUGCCGUAAACGAUGAAUGCUAGGUGUUGGAAGGUUUCCGCCUUUCAGUGCCGCAGCUAACGCAUUAAGCAUUCCGCCUGGGGAGUACGACCGCAAGGUUGAAACUCAAAGGAAUUGACGGGGACCCGCACAAGCGGUGGAGCAUGUGGUUUAAUUCGAUGCUACGCGAAGAACCUUACCAGGACUUGACAUCUUCUGCCAAUCUAAGAGAUUAGACGUUCCCUUCGGGGACAGAAUGACAGGUGGUGCAUGGUUGUCGUCAGCUCGUGUCGUGAGAUGUUGGGUUAAGUCCCGCAACGAGCGCAACCCUUGUCUUUAGUUGCCAGCAUUAAGUUGGGCACUCUAGAGAGACUGCCGGUGAUAAACCGGAGGAAGGUGGGGAUGACGUCAAAUCAUCAUGCCCCUUAUGUCCUGGGCUACACACGUGCUACAAUGGGCGAUACAACGAGUUGCGAAACCGCGAGGUCAAGCUAAUCUCUUAAAGUCGUUCUCAGUUCGGAUUGCAGUCUGCAACUCGACUGCAUGAAGUUGGAAUCGCUAGUAAUCGUGGAUCAGCAUGCCACGGUGAAUACGUUCCCGGGUCUUGUACACACCGCCCGUCACACCAUGAGAGUUUGUAACACCCAAAGUCGGUUGGAUAACCUUUUUAGGAGUCCGCCGCCUAAGGUGGGACAGAUGAUUAGGGUGAAGUCGUAACAAGAGCCAUGCCG
rnacentral:rRNA from 1 species